CCUACGGGAGGCUGCAGUGGGGAAUAUUGCGCAAUGGGCGAAAGCCUGACGCAGCGACGCCGCGUGAGGGAUGAAGGUCUUCGGAUCGUAAACCUCUGUCAGCAGGGAAGAAAGGUCACUGUGCUAAUCAGCAGUGCAUUGACGGUACCUGCAAAGGAAGCACCGGCUAACUCCGUGCCAGCAGCCGAGGUAAUACGGAGGGGGCGAGCGUUAAUCGGAAUUACUGGGCGUAAAGGGCUCGUAGGCGGUAUGUCAAGUCUGGGGUGAAAUUCCGGGGCUCAACCUUGGAACUGCGUUGGAAACUGGCGAGCUUGAGGGUGUGAGAGGUAAGUGGAAUUCCUGGUGUAGGGGUGAAAUGCGUAGAUAUCAGGAGGAACAUCAGUGGCGAAGGCGACUAACGGGCACGUAACUGACGCUGAGGCUCGAAAGCGUGGGUAGCAAACAGGAUUAGAUACCCUAGUAGUC
rnacentral:rRNA from 1 species